AAGUCGUAACAAGGUUUCCGUAGGUGAACCUGCGGAAGGAUCAUUAUCGAAACAAAAGGUCUUUCGGGUUGUUGCUGGCCUCUAGGGGCAUGUGCACGCCCGUCGGCCGUAUCCUUCUCUACCCCUGUGCACCUCUGCGUGGGUCCGUCGGCGCGAGCCUUCGGAUCCGCGUUUUAUCUACACACCCUUUUGUAUGUCUUCAGAAUGUCUAAUGCGAUAAAAAGCAUCUUAUACAACUUUCAACAACGGAUCUCUUGGCUCUC
rnacentral:misc_RNA from 1 species